GUUCCCUCAUCACAUGACCACUUCGCCGUUGUUCACCGGCCGCAGGUUUUGAUCAUCAAAGCGUCUCCUGACACUCCUCCGCACAGCGUCUGCUCGCCUGUAAGGCUGAUUCCUCAAAUCUGGUUUGGGACACAUCCACCACUACAGGGGUGCUACUGGAGGAGUUCCUUACCCUCGAGUAGACAUUGGGAAAUUUAGUAAUAUUAUUCUUCUUUAGGGCUAGAUGAAGAGAAGACAAAAUGAAGGUUAAAAAAUGGAGAAAGGGGAGAUUGAUCAGAGCAUGUCAGCCCAACAUUUCACAGUGGCUUUGCACAGAGAGCGCUGCGCGAGCAAAGCAGAGUGACGGCAGGCUGCAUGGGGAAAGGCCUUCACCGGGCAAGGGCGAGAGAGGUGACAGAGCUGGAGGAUGUUAACUAGUUCGACUGGCAGGGAGAAGAGGAUGGAGGGGAUGGAGUGAAGGAUCAAAGCUUCUUUUUUUUUUUUUGCUUUUUUCUGUUUCUAAACUCAAGCUGCUUUGCAGAGUGGCUACCAGCAGGACAGAAGAAGAACAUCCAAAUCCCAGUACAAAAUAAAAUAGAAUAAAUAAGAAAAAAA